UACGUAGGGGGCAAGCGUUGUCCGGAUUUAUUGGGCGUAAAGAGCUCGUAGGCGGUUUGGUAAGUCAGGUGUGAAAUCUCCACGCUCAACGUGGAGGGGCCACCUGAUACUGCUAUGACUGGAGUCCGGUAGAGGAGUGUGGAAUUCCCGGUGUAGCGGUGAAAUGCGCAGAUAUCGGGAGGAACACCCGUGGCGAAGGCGGGUCUCUGGGCCGAUACUGACGCUGAGGAGCGAAAGCGUGGGGAGCGAACAGG
rnacentral:rRNA from 1 species